rnacentral:rRNA from 1 species
GACAGAGGGCGCGAGCGUUGUUCGGAAUUACUGGGCGUAAAGCGCACGCAGGUGGCUGAGUCAGUCGAUUGUGAAAGCCCUGGGCUUAACCUGGGAAUUGCAGUCGAUACUACUCAGCUAGAGUAUGGGAGAGGGUAGUGGAAUUCCCGGUGUAGCGGUGAAAUGCGUAGAUAUCGGGAGGAACAUCAGUGGCGAAGGCGGCUACCUGGCCCAAUACUGACACUCAGGUGCGACAGCGUGGGGAGCAAACAGG